rnacentral:tRNA from 1 species
UCCCUGGUGGCUCAGAUGGUAAAGAAUCCGCCUGCAAUGCGGGAGACCUGGGUUUGAGUCCUGGUUUGGGAA